GGAAAGGGGCUGGGGGUGGGGGUUGGAAACAGGACUGACAAAUGUCAAGCACAUGUUCCCGCGGAAAUAGGAUGUAGUUGUGGUGAGCAGGGCUUGGCAGUGGGGGGCCUGCAUCUGACCAGAAUCUUAAGAGCUUUCCUGGUGGAGAGGCUCUGGCAACGAAGAGGGGUGAGCUCUCACCAUUAGGGGUGUGGGGCAUCAGGGAUCAUGGAAUGCCUGCCUGGUGGAGUCUGGCCGGGCGUCUCCAGAGACUCAGGUUUUCCCUGGCGUGGACCAGGACAAUUUGCCACCACCCGGCAGGCAGCCUCUAGCAGGGCUAACUCUGUAAGAAGGAAGGGGCCCAUUCUCAGCCCAUGCUUGGGUGCAUGCUAAGUCGCCUCAGUUGUGUCUGAUUCUUUGUGACCCCAGGGACUAUAGCCUGCCAGGCUCCUCUGUCCAUGGGAUUCUCUCGGCAAGAAUACUAGAGUAGGUUGCCAUGCCCUCCUCCAGGGGAUCUUCCCAACCCAGGGGUCAAAUCCAUGUCUUUCAUGUCUCCUACAUUGGCAGGCAGGUUCUUUACCACUAGCGCUGCCUGGGAAGCCCCAUUCUCAGUCCAGGUCAGUCCCAAAAGCAGAGCCCCCCACCCCCACCAGCAGGACCUCAGACAGGACACUGUGUCCUCUCCUCUCUGCCCUCACCCUGGUGUUCACUGUCGCCUCCGCUGCACAGGCCUCGUGCAGCUCAGAGGGAUGAAGCAAAAACCUCACAAGGGCCCAGAGAACACCAACCCACACACUCCUUCCUGCCUCUUCACAUCCUAAAGGGCUGUUUUCCAUCUCUCUCUGGUUGUCCCAAAGUCACACUAGUUACUCCAGCAGAGGGUGGAGGGACAGCUCUGGGCCAGGAAGCAGGUGACUUGCAGUCAAUUUCCAGCUUUCUGUGACCCUGGGCCACAGUCUCUUCUGUCUGAGCCUUGAGUUAUUUCCCUGCACAGAGUGGCCAAGGACAAGGAUAUUUAAAUGCUUUUGGUUCUUUACAGUAAUGGACUCUUCAGUAUUUUGGCGAAAAAUCUGAGCUGGAAUAUCGAUGUAUAAAGCACAUAAAAGCAAAACUGCUCUAGUUGGAGUGGGGGAGGGUCUGGGGUCCCAUCCACUCAGCCUCCCACAAACCCAAGACCGAAAACCACGGGACCACGGGACCUCUAAGAGAAUUGUUGCCCUCGAGUUCCACUGGGGCUCCUAAGCAGGUUAGGACUGGGAGGUAUAAAGGCAGCAUUAUUGACUGGAAAGGUGUUGACAACUAGUUCAACUGCAGAGAUGGGGGAGGCUAGGCUCGUUGUACUUUGAUUACAAAACAGAAGUAGCUUUCUGCGAUGGUCCCAGCUCCAGCUAAUGGAGCAUUAGAACAACCCGCCUUCCUCCUGAAGCUAGGCACAGAAGGAGACGAGUCCCCAGGCUUUCCUCCGGAGGGGCUGGGGACACACUGCCUGGAGUCAGGAGAUCAGUCUAAUGGCCUCCCAGGGGCCGGCGCCUUCUGUGGACAUAGCAGACGUGGCUCGAGUGCUCAGUCCAGCCUUGCCCUCUCCAGGGGGACUGACUUUGAGACACCCGACCAGGCCCUGCCUCCAGCCUCUGCUCCGGAAACCCCCUCAUUCUGCCGUGUCUGCUUAAUCCCUGUUCACAGCAGGCUGACCUCCCGCCUCCGUGGCCUCACACUGCGCCUGCCCCAGAGUCUCUCAGGCCGCCUUCGAAAAAUAAAUAAAUACUUUCUCCAUUAUCCCAUUAACAGCUUCACAGGUUUUUCUGCUAUUAGUUCCCAACUCCAGUGAAAGUGGAAACACGUGUCCUGAAGAGCCUCGCUUGCCCACUAGCCGCUAUGGGGCUGGUGCUAAGCUCCAG
ensembl:lncRNA